rnacentral:rRNA from 1 species
CCUACGGGGGGCAGCAGUGAGGAAUAUUGGUCAAUGGGCGGGAGCCUGAACCAGCCAAGUCGCGUGAGGGAAGAAGGUACUGAGUAUUGUAAACCUCUUUUGCCAGGGGACAAAGGCGGCCACGGGUGGCCGUAAGAGGGUACCUGGAGAAAAAGCAUCGGCUAACUCCGGGUCAGCAGCCGCGGUAAUACGGAGGAUGCGAGCGUUAUCCGGAUUUAUUGGGGUAAGAGGGUGCGCAGGCGGCGUGCCAAGUCAGCGGUAAAAUGUCGGGGCUAAACCCCGGCCGGCCGUUGAAACUGGGGGGCUGGAGUUGGAGAGAGGUAUGCGGAAUUCGUGGUGUAGCGGUGAAAUGCGUAGAGAUCAGGAAGAACCCCGAUUGCGAAGGCGGCAUACCGGCUCCACACUGACGCUGAGGCACGAAAGCGUGGGUAUCGAACAGGAUUAGAUACCCCUGUAGUC